rnacentral:rRNA from 1 species
UACGUAGGGGGCGAGCGUUGUCCGGAAUGAUUGGGCGUAAAGGGCGUGUAGGCGGUCAUUUAAGUCUGGAGUGAAAGUCCUGUUUUCAAGAUGGGAAUUGCUUUGGAUACUGGAUGACUUGAGUGCAGGAGAGGUUAUCGGAAUUCCCGGUGUAGCGGUGAAAUGCGUAGAGAUCGGGAGGAACACCAGUGGCGAAGGCGGGUAACUGGACUGCAACUGACGCUGAGGCGCGAAAGUGUGGGGAG